AUUUGGAGCAGGAAAUUUCUGGAAAUUCAGUCUGCCGAGAACCUUCAGAGAGCCAGGCUCAGGACCCUGCGCUUUCAGGAUCCAGGGAAACCUGUGGCCAGCAGAAUCAGGAUGCAAAGAUGUUCUGCCAUCUUCUGGACAGCAAGAGCUGGUGACCUUUAAGCACGGGAUUGGAGGAGGAGGAGUUAGCUUACUGCAGAACAACUAUACUUUAAGGGAGUUCACCAGAACCUGGUCUCCCUAGGUCCUCAGAGGAGACCUGAAGAACCAGUCCUGGGGCAGAGCCCUCCCUGCAGAGGAACCAGUCACAGGGCAGGAAUGGAGGACCUGCUGGUGGUGGACAACUUCUGACAUGUUUGUGUUGAGGUCUUUUCUGAUGACAAGUCGGAAUUGCACCAGGGCCAUCAGGAACAGCAGCGUUUUGGUGAGUGCCAUACCAGUGAGCCACCCUGGGACCUUUGUGCCGGGAAACAAGCCUUGUGGACAGCAUUGAUCUUGGCAGCCCUCCAGGAAAUGACCCCCAGUUACGAUCUUCUCCUGGAGCCCACACCACACCAGCUCCAAGCCAGGGGACCAUGCCACAUGCAAACUUGGCAGAAGAAUCUUUAGCAACCAAGUAGUUCUCAGGAGACAUGAGCAAUUCUGUACCAGAAAGAGGCCCUUUAGCUGUGCACAGUGCAUCAGUACCACACAGCUCUCACGCCACGCUUCAGCAGACACCUGACGCUCUGGUGAGUGGUAUGCCACCGCUGUUCUAUGCCAUGAGGAUGGGGAGAGAAUACACAAGUGGGCUCGUGAAACAGCACAAUCUUUAUUAUUCCAACUAUGUAAGUGGAGUCGCUGAUUGAUCAGGACGACCAGAUGAGGACUCAGGAGCCUUGCUUCAUCUGGCAGCCAGGGUUUACAUGCAAGCAUCUGACCCAAGUUACAGUUCUAAUUCUCACUAAUAAGGAUUUAGGGAUUAGGAACUUUGCCCAGCGUUGUUCCAUCAUUGUCAACUGAUAUUGAAUGUAAGUUGUUUUACCCAGCCAGUCAAAUUCAUUUCUUCUUUCUGUUGUUAGGAACAGG
ensembl:processed_transcript Gm44015 predicted gene, 44015